rnacentral:rRNA from 1 species
ACCAGACUCCUACGGGAGGCAGCAGUGGGGAAUAUUGGACAAUGGGGGGAACCCUGAUCCAGCGACGCCGCGUGAGUGAAGAAGUAUUUCGGUAUGUAAAGCUCUAUCAGCAGGGAAGAAAGAAAUGACGGUACCUGACUAAGAAGCCCCGGCUAACUACGUGCCAGCGGCCGCGGUAAUACGUAGGGGGCGAGCGGUAUCCGGAUUCACUGGGUGUAAAGGGAGCGUAGACGGCCGUGCAAGCCAGGAGUGAAAGCCCGGGGCCCAACCCCGGGACUGCUCUUGGAACUGUGCGGCUAGAGUGCGGGAGGGGCAGGCGGAAUUCCUGGUGUAGCGGUGAAAUGCGUAGAUAUCAGGAGGAACACCGGCGGCGAAGGCGGCCCGCUGGGCCGCGACUGACGUUGAGGCUCGAAAGCGUGGGGAGCGAACAGGAUUAGAUACCCGAGUAU